GCAUUUUCGAGCCAAAAGUGCGAAGCGCCUACGCGGGGAAAUCAGUCCACUGGACUGAUUUCUGAUCCCGCUUCGAUGCGUCGGAUAAUGCGUGAAAACAAAUAGAUAGAGCGGUUCCGACGAUUCCGUUUAAACCGGAACCGCUCUAGUCAAUAGGAACGAACCACUCUGAAUACGUGAUUAUCCCUUCGGUG
rnacentral:misc_RNA from 1 species